rnacentral:rRNA from 2 species
UCUGGUGGCAUUUCCUGCAGGGCCACACCCGUUUCCAUCCCGAACACGGAAGUUAAGCCUGCGGGGCCGAUGGUAGUCCAGUAGGGCGAGAGUAGGUGGCCGCCGGAA